GUAUCUCUUUCUUAUCCUUUGAAAUAAUAUCCAUUGCCAUGAGGACAUUCAAGGCAUCAUACACCCUUCGCCUGAUAUUUUUUUCGUCGUACUGUUGCUGAUCUGGUGAUGCUACACUGUUGCCAGGAUCAGCGAACUCUGCGACAAGUUCAUCUGCAACCUCAUUAUAGGUCGUUCUUCCCUUACUCUCCACUUUCUCGCAAACUUUCAUGCUGAAUUGGCG
rnacentral:misc_RNA from 1 species